GGAGAAGCUCUCAUGAGAUUGACAGAAGAGAGUGAGCACACGGCGUGAUGGCCGGCAUAAAAUCUAUCCCGUCCUCGCCGCGUGCUCACUCCUCUUUCUGUCACCCUCUUUCUCUCAGGGCUCAACUCC
rnacentral:ncRNA from 2 species